rnacentral:rRNA from 1 species
UACGGGGGGGGCAAGCGGUGUUCGGAAUUACUGGGCGUAAAGGGCUCGUAGGCGGCCAACUAAGUCAGACGUGAAAUCCCUCGGCUUAACCGGGGAACUGCAUCUGAUACUGGAUGGCUUGAGUUCGGGAGAGGGAUGCGGAAUUCCAGGUGUAGCGGUGAAAUGCGUAGAUAUCUGGAGGAACACCGGUGGCGAAGGCGGCAUCCUGGACCGACACUGACGCUGAGGAGCGAAAGCCAGGGGAGCAAACGGG